GCCCGGGUUCGAUUCAAAAAAAAAAAAUAGCUCAGUUGGUACAGCGUUGGACUGAAGAUCUAAAGGUCCCUGGUUCGAUCCCGGGUUUCGGCA